rnacentral:rRNA from 1 species
UAGGGAAUCUUCGGCAAUGGACGGAAGUCUGACCGAGCAACGCCGCGUGAGUGAAGAAGGUUUUCGGAUCGUAAAGCUCUGUUGUAAGAGAAGAACGAGUGUGAGAGUGGAAAGUUCACACUGUGACGGUAUCUUACCAGAAAGGGACGGCUAACUACGUGCCAGCAGCCGCGGUAAUACGUAGGUCCCGAGCGUUGUCCGGAUUUAUUGGGCGUAAAGCGAGCGCAGGCGGUUAGAUAAGUCUGAAGUUAAAGGCUGUGGCUUAACCAUAGUACGCUUUGGAAACUGUUUAACUUGAGUGCAAGAGGGGAGAGUGGAAUUCCAUGUGUAGCGGUGAAAUGCGUAGAUAUAUGGAGGAACACCGGUGGCGAAAGCGGCUCUCUGGCUUGUAACUGACGCUGAGGCUCGAAAGCGUGGGGAGCAAACAGGAUUAGAUACCCUGGUAGUCCACGCCGUAAACGAUGAGUGCUAGGUGUUAGACCCUUUCCGGGGUUUAGUGCCGCAGCUAACGCAGUAAGCACUCCGCCUGGGAGUACGACCGCAAGGUUG